GACGAACGCUGGCGGCGUGCUUAACACAUGCAAGUCGAACGGAAAGGCCCUGCUUGCCGGGUGCUCGAGUGGCGAACGGGUGAGUAACACGUGGGUGAUCUGCCCCUUACUUUGGGAUAAGCCUGGGAAACUGGGUCUAAUACUGGAUAGGACCAUGCUGUAGGUGGUGUGGUGGAAAGAUUAGUUUCGGUAAGGGAUGAGCUCGCGGCCUAUCAGCUUGUUGGUGGGGUAAUGGCCUACCAAGGCGUCGACGGGUAGCCGGCCUGAGAGGGUGGACGGCCACAUUGGGACUGAGAGACGGCCCAGACUCCUACGGGAGGCAGCAGUGGGGAAUAUUGCACAAUGGGCGCAAGCCUGAUGCAGCGACGCCGCGUGGGGGAUGACGGCCUUCGGGUUGUAAACUCCUUUCAGCCAUGACGAAGCCCUUGUGGUGACGGUAGUGGUAGAAGAAGCACCGGCUAACUACGUG
rnacentral:rRNA from 1 species